rnacentral:lncRNA from 1 species
CAACAAUACGCUUGCAGAUUUGAUGUUAAAUAUUUUUUCUUUAUAUUCUAGUAAUAAGUACUUACUACCAAGUUUCACGUGGUCGGAAAAAAAUGGUGAAGCAAACCCGAAACUUUUAAAUUAGCAUAACAAUUUGACCACGGAUGAUUGAAAACGUGUUAUCAGGUCUGAUGAGUCCAAAUAAUAAUCGUUAAUUUUGGAGUCCGCCCAGAAAUAGAGGCAAACAAAAUAACGGCGAAACACGUUAAAUUGGC